UAUUGUAAGGAGAUAUCAUGAGAUUCGAGGAUGGUACAAUUAUAACGUUUUAACAGUUUUCCUGAAUUAGUAUGAGAUUCUCGCUCAUUGUUAUACUUGCAUUGGUGCAGUGUAAUCUUAUGUACAUUUGGGAAUUGGGAAAGAACCAAAAUUAGUAGGAUCAACAACCUCUGAUGGAUGUACGAAAAUUGAAUUUCCUAAUUUAAUGGGACAUCGAUAACAAUGGGAGACCUCAUGAUAAAUUGAUAUUCUAUCAUUAGCAUAUCAGCAAAUUCACGUAAUAAAGAGGAAUUUUCCACAGUACAAUGCGAAAUCAUGUGGAGCGGUACUAUCCACUAAAAUAGAGCGCUUGUGGACUUUUUCAAGACCUAGAUGAUCUUCCUGACCAACACGAACUCCUUAAUAGGCAUAGGGAUAACUCAUUCGCAAUGUUAUCCAGCUUCUAGAAGAAACGUUAUUUCAAGAAUAAUCAAGAUAUCGAAGGAGAGAAAGAGCCAGAUGGGAAAUGUGAUUGUACAUAUGACCUGUAUAAAUAUUUACGAAUGAUGAGCUACUCACUGAGGAGCAACUGGUACAAGUGUUGUAUGCCUUUGGUCACGUAGCCAUAAAGUGGUUGGGACAAGAAUUUUCUCCCCAUAUAUUGGUUGGGAAAGUAGAAUGAUCAUUUGAAGCAUAUGAAGGAAAAUAGUAAAAAAUACGAAACAUAUCAAACAGAGGAGCUAAAUUAUUUUUUCAAUAUUCUAUCGAGUUUUUCCUGAAGAAUGACCGAAAUUUCCAGCUUUAUCGUCAAUUCCCAGUAGAAUGCAAAUGAAUAAUAGUUCAAUAGGACCAAGGCUGGAUGGGAACACGUACAUUCGAAGUGUUUCAUUGACUUGCAAAAACGUUUUUGGUUGAUGCAAAUUCUAGGACAGGCUUUAGAAUUUUCCAGCAGAACCUGGACUAAACAAAAAUGAUACUUUUUGUAGUCUCCCUCAGUUUCCUCAAUUUUAAAACUUUAAUAUACUUAUCUAACCCAAAUAACGAGUUUGUUAUCGGAAAUUGCAUAUAUAGUUUCCUUAUUUCCUAUCAUUGAGAUAUUAAUAAAUAUAUCAUCUUUGCAUAUGGGGAAAAAAAAUCUCUUCCAAUUUCAACUUUUGAGGUAGCUAUGGAGAAAGAAAUAUGGUAUAUGGUACAUCAUCAGCACUCAUCACAGUUCUAUAAAGCGAGAAGAGAUACCUAAUUGUAAUUUUUCAUGAAACGUUGUUUGGAUUUUUUCAAUAAUUAAACCGGAUAUCGAAAAAAAAGUGUUCAAAGGGACCCGCGGACAAUUCUUCCUUUGGUAAAUACUUCCUGCUCAAAGCGUUAGUCGAUAAGUUCACGAGGAAAUUGAUGUUAUUGCGCGAUUUCAUGGCCAUGUUUAACAUGCGGAUUUUCGAAGGAUCUACAACUAGGAUAAAAGUGUUAAAAAUGGAUGAAAAAGUUACUCAAAUGAAGAAAAGUACAAAGAAAAUUUCUCCAU